rnacentral:snoRNA from 1 species
AAGGCUAUACUUUCAGAGAUCGUUUCUAUAGUCACUAGAGAAGAUUUUCUGAACGUGCAGAGCAUGAGAAGCUACGAGGAAGAAAAGGCAGCCAGGUCUCCCCUGAGGGGGAGGAUGGUUCUCGGAGUUGCUGUGCAGCAGCCAUUUGCCCUUGAGGCUCAAUCUCCUUUGCUUUGGGAGAGUGAGAGAGGUUACACUGAGUGAU